ACCUACUGUGAUACAUAUGAAUGAAUAUAUUUUCAAAUAAGUGAAAAUGCUGCUGACAUGGCUACCUCUUCCCAUGAUUGGUCCAGAUAGAUGACUCACUUUUCAGAGUGGCAGCUUCAUAAGGCAACCCAUACAUAAUGAGAUGUGAAAAAGACUUUUCUUCCUGCCUCUGAAUGUGGUGAGAGAUUGGGCAAAGCCUGCUUUAUUGAUCAGUAUCCGUGCUUUCCAUCAAGGAAAUCAUACUCCUUCCAUAGUUUCAUGUCAACUUCCACCAGAAACAUGCCAUAGGACUGUGAUGGAGAACCUAGACAUGCCUAGAGAGAACAACUAGUUCUAUGGAACUCUCUUCCCAGUGAAGUUAAAUGCCCCCCUCCCUCCUGACCUUCAGGAAAAAACUAAAAACAUGGCUUUGGGACCAAGUCUUUGGUCAGUAAAUGGGAGCAGUGCAAUAAGAGACUAUAAAUAACACAAUGACGACUUGGAUCGGUCCUGGAAUAUGACCUGGAUUGUGUGAUUUUUAAUUGAUGUUUUCAUGUUUAUGUUUUUAAUUGGUUUGGAUUUUAAUGGAGUUUUAAUGGAGUUGUUGAUAUGUAUAUGUGGCAUCGAAUAGUUGCCUUUGUAAAGCCACCCUGAGUUCCCUGUGGGGUGAGAAAUACGGGGUACAAGUUUCGUAAAUAAAUAAAUAGGUCCUCCAGCAUUACUCUGGGCCUUUCCACACAGCCCUAUAUUGCAGAAUAUCAAGUCAGAAAACCCCACAAUAUCUGCUUUGAACUGGAUUAUCUGAGUCCACACUGUCAUGGGGAACAUAGAAAAUGCCAAGUGAGAACAUCUUUUGGGGGAUGAGGAUAAGUGAAGUAAUAGGUACUGGCCCCAAAUAUGCAAGAAUCAUACAGUAUUGUACAUGCUCCUGUAAAGGACUCAGAUCCAUGUGUCAUUAUCUAUCUAUAUAUAUAAAAGGGUAAUGGAAUCACAGCCUAGGACUAAACAACAAAACUACAAGUUCCAGAACCACGAAACUUGGCAACACAACCCACCAUCCUUGCCCCUAGGUUCCGACAACAAAAGAAAAGAAAAAUAAAGUCCUAAUUAGAGGGAGAGGAAUAAUUGUUUUUAUCCAAUUGCUACCAGUUAGAAGGCUAAGCUCUGCCUACUUGGUCUCCUAGCAACCCAUUCAGCUCAGGGCCUCUUCAAUCAGGCCUCUUCCACACUGCCUAUAAAAUACAGAUUAUCUGAUUUGAACUGGAUUAUAUGGCAGUGUAGACUCAAGGCCCUUCUACACAGCUAUAUAACCCAUUUAGAAUCUUAUAUUCUGCUUUGAACUGGAUUAUCUUGAGUCCACACUGCAUAUAAUCCACUUCAGUGUGCAUUUUAUACAGCUGUGAAGGGGCCUCAUAUAAUCCAGUUCUAAGCAGAUAAUAUAAGAUUAUCAAUAUACACUAGAGUCUCACUUAUCCAACAUACACAGGCCGGCAGAACAUUGGAUAAGUGAAUAUGUUAGAUAAUAAGAAGGGAUUCAGGACAAGCCUAUUAAUCAUCAAAUUAGGUAAUCGUUAUACAAAUUAAGCACCAAAAAAUCAUGUUAUACAACAAAAUUGACAGAAAAAGUAGUUCCAUGCACAGUAAUGCUAUGUAGUAAUUGCUGUAUUUACAAAUUUACCACCAAAAUAUCACAAUGAAUUUAAAACAUUGACUACAAAAACAUUGACUACUAAAAGGCACACUGCGUUGGAUAAUCCAGAACACUGGAUAAGCGAAUGCUGGAUAAGUGAGAUUCUACUGUAAUAUGAAAUAAUUACUGUGGUAGAAUAAUACAGAACAAUAUAAUCUCUAAAACCAGGGCAGUAAAUAAAGAGCAACACUCUGAAAGCAGGGAAAUUGGGAAUUCCACAAAGGAAACAAUCAGGGCCAGCUAACACCUCCCAAGAAAGGAUUCUUCCAGAAAGGAAGCUGAGAAGGGAGUGAAGCAGUGUGUAUUACCAAAGUCAUUAUUAUUACUAUCAUUACUAUUAUUAUUCGCAUUAUUAUUAUUGUUGUUGUUGUUGUUGCUGUUGUUGUGUUGCUGUGAACCAUGAAAAUGAAUACAAUCUGGCUCCAAGUAUUCAAAAACACUAAAAUCAGAAUAUGUAAAAUUACCGUGGUAUAAUAAAACAGAACAAUACCAUCUCUAAAAUCAGAACACUAAAUAAAGAACAACACUCUGAAAACAGGGGAAUUCAACACAGGAAACAAUCAGGGGCAGCUAACACCUCCCAACAAAGUAUUCCCAUCACCAAAGUCUGGCAAAUCCUCUGUUUUCUGAGGGCCACAGACUUUUUUUUUUUGGAUUCUUUAUGCCUAUAGGAUGGAUCAUUUAGAAACUUGUAUACUUCAUUUACAAAAUAUUUGUAAAUUGUCUCCACAGGUAUGCCUACACGUACAGCUGUUUUUCUGUUGCUCUGCAAGAAGCAUCUGUAGAGACUACUGGGGUUCUUUGUGAGAUAUCUGCAAAUGAUGUUCUUGCUAUACAUCCAGCUACAGGAAAGUGGUUGGAUGCAUCCACACUCAAUCUUUCUAUUCCCCUAUAACAUUUGAGAGGUGGGGGCAUAUUGUUUACAAUAUGAGUUUGAGGGGAUUGGGGCUGUUGCAUAAUCAGAACAGAAUUCCAGUCUAUGCACUUACCAUAAAAGUGGAGUAGCAUGAGUUUGAAUUAUACCAUCAUGCCACCUGUAGACUGAGGUGCCAUAUAUAUACACAAAGGAAAUCCAGGUAUGCCUCUUCUAAUAUUGAGGGGGCUCACAGGUAUUCUGUGUCUCCUUGGUUACAGUAAUGGAUUAUGGGCAAUAAGUCAAGACGCAGCUCAGCAACACAUUAGUGCUAUUAGUAUUUGCUGUAUUCCAUAAGGUGUUGCAUUCACCCUACUGGGGUGGAUUCAUAGUUUUGGAGGAGCCAUUGAUCCAGAUUGCCACUGGAAAUUCAGGUAGCCCCAGUAGAUUAAAGUGACCUAUAAAUAAGAUUGAUAAACUAGUUGUGACCCUACCAGAAUUGUGAAUACAGUACAGAUAUGUGUGCAUACAUACAUAAGGAUAACUAAUCACUCAACUAGCCAGACUUUGUAUAUGUCACUGAAAAAAGUGUUGGUGACAAUAGCUGGCAUCCUAUUGAUCAGUCUUAAUUAGAUAAUACUGAUUAACUCAACUGUUGAACUGUAGGUCAAUAGUUAAGUAGAUCACAUUGUUUCAAUGGAUCUAGUCUGGUCAGGAGUAACAAUAAGAUUCAGGUCAACAUCUUAAAAGAGUAAAUUUGCAAAGUGAUUAGAUAGCAAACAAGAGCGGGGUUGGGUAUGGGAUGUAUCCUUGAAGUAAAAAAUAUCCCAUAAUAAUAUAAGUAUCAAUGGGUUCUUAGCUUUUCAUUCUAAAUAACUUCUUGUGACCUGAAAAGUACAGUCAUUGUUACUUCUUCCCUACCUUCUUCCUGGAGGAAAAAAAAAUAUCCUGCCUGAAAAUUAUAUUUAAGAAGAAUGACUAAAAUGAAGCACUGAAUCCAUCCAUAUUUGAGCAGCAACAGGAUGAUGCUCUGAAGCAAAGAGCAUCAACCUAUUGCUGCUCAAUUUUGGAUGGAUGCAGAAUUUCAAUGUAUUCAUCCUUCUUAAAAGUAACUUUCUCAACUCUGUUCCAGACAGAUAAAUGUUAACUCACAACCUAUGGCAUCCACAUGGACUGGCAGCCAUCCAACUUAUGCACCUGCACCAUUACAGCCUGGCUUUCCCAAAUACUUUCCCUUUCUAACAGCUUGCUCUCUUUGGAGGGCAGCUGGUUGCUGCAAGUUCGCCUAGUUGGUUUCAUUUUCUUUUAUUCUCUCUCUCUCUUUGUUUCUUUUCUUUGUGCCUUUACACUUUCCUUUUUGUUCCCAAGUUCUCUCUCUCUCUUCUUUCUUUGGUGUCAAACACUUUAAGGCAGGCAUAAUUUCAUUUUCCCCAACUGUUGUUUUGGCGAGCUUAUUGGAGCUAAUCAUAUAUGUCCCUCGAGAGGCGCUGUGAGACUGGCCCACACUGAAGCAAAAUAGUUCCAGCAAAGAUAGUGCCGAAAGAGAGCGGCAGCCACCUGCUUUGCCUGAAGGGCAAUGUAAGAUUCUGCUCAAGAAAAGGCAGAACGAACAGCUGCUUUCUGCUCAGGCCAUUCUGACAGUUCCCAUUGUACCAAUAAAACAUAAAGCUAUCAAUUCCUAAAUAAGACCAGGCAGAAUUUUACCAUUUUCCAUCUCUGUCUCCAUCCUACCCACCCCCAGCCCCCCACUCUCAGCUGCAAAUUGUUCCACAUCAAUACACAGUCAGGUGUGUUUACAUACAAUUCAUUUGCAUUAAUACACAGGAUCCACUAAGACAAACAAAGGAAAUGAAUGCCAGCUUGAAUCCUGUCUUCUCCAAAGUGACUGCACUCAUUGGGAGACAAUAUUCCAAAUGGUAUGAAAUGGAAAAGGAAAAUUAUGCUGGUAUACAUCAACAGAACUCACCUCAUCAAAAAAACUAUCAAAUGACUCAAUUUUCCUACUAUUCCAUAUUUUUCCAAUUCUGCCCAACUCUCCUCAAGCUAGAAGCUUUCACAUUGAAGAAACAGUAUCUGAAGUGUUGGGAAGAUGUAGAUUGAAGCUGUCUUUGUUCUCAGUCUUGAGAACUGUUGUUAUUAAUUGUCAUUAGGCUGAAAUCAGUGUAUGGUGACCCUAUGAAUGAGAGACUUCUGUUCCCUGUUCAGAUCUUGAAUAUUCAGGACCAUGGCUUCCUUGACUGAGUCUAUCCAUCAAGAAUGUGGUCUUUCUUCUUGCUGCCUUCUACCUUGCCAAACAGUAUUAUCCUUUCUAGUGAGUGAAGUCUUCUCAGUUUAGUCAUCUUAGUUACUAGGGAAGGAUCAGGCUUGAUUUGCUCUAUAACUCAUGCAUUUGCCUUUUUAGCAGUCCACAGUAUCAGCAGGCCAGCACCAGAUUUCAAAUUAUUUGAUUUUCCUCCUAUCAACUUUCUUCAAUGUGCAACUUUCAUAACAAUGCUAAUAUUGUGAGAUAAACUAAAAAAAAAAAACUGUAGGGAUGAAUUCAACUAGAAUUACAAGGGCAGCAGGAAGGUUGCUGAACUACAGACAGGCCCCAAGUCAUGAAUAAUACAACAGUAGAUCCAAACUGCCGACUGCCGGUUACAUCAUGAUAUAACUUCGCUGCCACCAAUCUAAUUGCAUUGGUCUACAACCACACCGUUCACUCUUCCCUGUCCCACUGGCCCUCCGACCACCAGAGUUAGUUCACAGAGCCACUCAAAAAUGAAGGGAAACUCUGACUCAAAGAGUGAAGGCUAUUAUGCAGACAGGCCUCCUUUCUGUGCACAGAAAGACACACUGAAUUCUUGUGGUGAAGUAUAAACAGAUUUGUGAAGUUUAUUUGAACUAAAACAAGAAGGUUGCUUAGAUAUUAGGAGAGAUUUAGACAUGUAAUGGUUUCAGAAGAUUAUCAAGCUGUUUCCUUAAAAGAGAAUGGUUCCUUAACUUAUCUUCCACAGAACUAUGUUCACUCACAGGAGAAUUAAUCGGGCUUUUCAAAACCCUUCAGUCUUCCCUUCCAGAGGCUCCUAAUAUCAGCCCUCUGUCCCUUAGAGGCUCUCUAAAAAUGCAGCACUUCUCCCCCGAAGGCUAUCUUUAAUUCCCCUCUCACAGAGGUUUUUUUCUCCGAGCUCCAAACACUUCCUUUUUCCUCCUCAGCCUCCUCUCUCCGAAUUCCCUCUCUCCCCCUGGCGCCCUCUACCUUCUGUAGCUAGACAACACUCUCCAACUCCCCCACCAAUCAGGCACCACUACCAUAUAAGGAGCGGGCUGUUCCCUCCUCCUUUAGCUUGGAAUGGGCCUUUUCUCCCAGGGCCUAGAACUUUUCCUACACAACUGGCCUGACAAGAUGUUUUGGACAAUAACUUCUAGCAUUCCUGAUUAUCAGCCAUGCUUUCUGAAGACUAAAUGAAGUUGCAUCUGGAAGACACUACACUGAAGAUGCAGAAGUUCUUCAAUCAGACACCUUCUGCUGGAUGAAGGAAAAUGUAGCUGUUUGCACAUAUUCACUGAAUAUUAGAGGAGGUGCUCCAUCAUCCAUUCAUCACUUUAAUUAUAUCUCACCUUGGGACCCAAGAUCACUUACAAAGAGGCAGAGAAAAAAAAAUAUAAAGUGCAUAUAGUUAAAACUUGCAAAAUUAAUAUUAAAACAUAUCAAAUAAUAACGGAAUUAAAAUCAAUUAAAACAUUAUCUUAAGACAGGUUAAAAACAGUAUAGCAAUGUAAUCCAUAAGAAGAUCUUAACAUGCAGAGGGAAAUAAAACAAAGACAUGCUAAUUUCUUUAUGGAUGGAGUUCCAAAGUGUGGGAGCAGCCAUAGAGAAGGUCUUCUCCUGUGUUCCAACCACUGUGUCCAUGAAGACAGUGGGGCAGAGAAAAAUUGCUUUGUUGUAAUUCUUAAAGCUCUGAGAGGCUUGUAUUGGAUGGGAUGGUCCUUCAAACAAUCUGUUUUUGACAAUGGCAGAAAGGAGCAUCUGGGCUUAGGGCUGAAUCCAAGAGUGGACCUGCAUUGUUGUGGGAAAUGUAACCUCAUCCAACACAGGCUGAAUUCCUGUGUUGUCAUUCAAGACUGGCUGGGAACACCUCUUUCUGGAUUAAACUUCAAUUUCUUCACCCUCAUCUGGUCCAUUAAAGCUGCCAAGCACAGGCAUAGCAGGGAAACAGCUCCUUGGAAUUAGGUAGAAAAAGUUAUAGAGCUAUGUGUCAUUUGCAUAUUGGUGGCAUCUGAUCCCAAAAUAACCUCUACCAGGGGCUUCCGUAUAGGAGGGUGACAAAACUGAGCUCUGUGGAAUGCUAAAGGCCAUCAGCCAAAGAGUAGAGCCGGAUGGCCAUUUGGGUUUGCCUCUCCUGAAAGGAACAGAACCCCUGCAAAACAGUGCCUCCAGGGGUGCAUCCAUACAGAUUCAGGGAAUUUAAGAUAGCAACAUGCUUUGGCAGAGAUGUUGUAAAAGCUAAAAGUACCAUCAUUCUAUAGCAUUGAGCCAUGCCAGUAACAGUCGUGUCAAAGUAUAUUAACUCUACAGUGAUGCACCCCAAGUCCCAGAAAGAUACUAUGGUUGGUGGUAUCAAAUGCAACUGAGACCCAACAUCCUUUAUCUUGUGAAAAUUUGGGUUUUAAAAAGAAAAAUGCUGGUAAGUGGUAUAUCCUACAUUCAGAGAAAACUUCCUGUGCCAAGGAAAAGGAAAAGUUAGUCAUUGGAUCAUUU